CAGUACAUGCACAGUCUUUCAUGCUUGUUAAGAGGUGAGAUGCGGAGUGAUUGUAAGAGAUUCGGCUGUAAGAGUGACGAUAGUUUUCUCAUGCAGACUACAAAAUUGUCGUUCUUCCUACCUGAUUGAAUUACUUAGCUCUCGCAGUGUACUCCAGUACAUGAACUCAAUUUUCACUAGACGGGACAUCGGUAAGGUGGAUGCGUAGAGAGUUAUAAACGCACUAACAACAAAUAGGAAAAAUUGUUUGA
rnacentral:lncRNA from 1 species